GUCUUCUUGGGCAAUUAUAGGAAGUCUGACCUGCCCGGUGAUGUUAUUUAACGGCCGCGGUAUUUUGACCGUGCAAAGGUAGCAUAAUCAUUAGUCUUUUAAUAGAGGGCUGGUAUGAAUGGUUUGACGAGGUGUUGACUGUCUCAUUUAAUUUGAAUUUAAAAUUUAACUUUUCAGUUAAAAGGCUGAAAUUUCAUUGGAAGACGAGAAGACCCUAUAGAGCUUUAUAUUUAUUUUAUUAAUUUAUUUUUGUUGAUUGUUAUUUAUUAUUAUUGUGAAUAUUUUGUUGGGGUGACAAAAAUAUAUAGUUAACUUUUUUAUUUUGCAAACAUUAAUAUAUGGUUAUUAGAUCCAAUCUUAUUGAUUAGUAGAGUAAGUUACCUUAGGGAUAACAGCGUAAUCUUCCUCCAGAGUUCAUAUUUACGGGAAGGCUUGCGACCUCGAUGUUGGAUUAAGAUAAUAGUUAGGUGUAGCCGCUUAAUGUAUAGGUCUGUUCGACCUUUAAAUUCUUACA
rnacentral:rRNA from 2 species